rnacentral:rRNA from 1 species
CGCGGCCUAUCAGCUUGUUGGUGAGGUAACGGCUCACCAAGGCAUCGACGGGUAGCUGGUCUGAGAGGACGAUCAGCCACACUGGGACUGAGACACGGCCCAGACUCCUACGGGAGGCAGCAGGAGGGAAUAUUGCGCAAUGGGCGAAAGCCUGACGCAGCGACGCCGCGUGGGGGAAGAAGGCCUUCGGGUCGUAAACCCCUUUCAGCAGGGACGAAAUUGACGGUACCUGCAGAAGAAGCGCCGGCCAACUACGUGCCAGCAGCCGCGGUAAUACGUAGGGCGCAAGCGUUGUCCGGAUUCAUUGGGCGUAAAGGGCUCGUAGGCGGUUUGGUAAGUCGGGUGUGAAAACUCAGGGCUCAACUCUGAGACGCCACUCGAUACUGCCAUGACUAGAGUCCGGUAGGGGAGUGUAGAAUUCCUGGUGUAGCGGUGAAAUGCGCAGAUAUCAGGAGGAAUACCGAUAGCGAAGGCGGCUCUCUGGGCCGGUACCGACGCUGAGGAGCGAAAGCUAGGGGAGCAAACAGGAUUAGAUACCCUGGUAGUCCUAGCCGUAAACGUUGGGUACUAGGUGUGGCGGAUUCAUUGACAUCUGCCGUGCCGAAGCUAACGCAUUAAGUACCCCGCCUGGGGAGUACGG